rnacentral:piRNA from 1 species
UGGAACUGGGCAUGAUCAUAGGU